CUAAAAGUAUGCAAACAGAAGAAAAGACAGAGAAGUUCUAUGGAUUUCUUGGGACCCAGGACCACAGCUGCAGCCUAGACGCAGAUUGUGUGCCGUGCUGUUUGAACGUUAUUAUGCAUUACUUUCAAGUUUUGCCAGAGUGAUUUAAACCUUUGAGAUGUUCCCAUUAACUGGAAAAACAGUCAAUUUUUCUCAUUUUCCUGAUCCAUCUGAUACAUGGGAAAUAACGGAAACAAUUGGCAAAGGAACUUAUGGGAAAGUUUUUAAAGUACUGAAUAAGAAAAAUGGCCAAAAAGCAGCAGUCAAAAUUCUGGAUCCGGUUCACGAUAUUGAUGAAGAAAUUGAGGCAGAAUAUAACAUUCUAAAAUCACUUUCUGAUCACCCUAAUGUUGUUAAAUUUUAUGGAAUUUAUUUUAAGAAGGAUAAAAUCAAUGGAGAUAAACUAUGGCUGGUUCUUGAGCUGUGUAAUGGAGGAGCAGUAACUGACCUUGUGAAAGGCUUUCUGAAGAGGAGAGAAAAAAUGAGGGAACCCAUCAUUGCCUAUAUUUUACAUGAAGCAUUAAUGGGACUUCAACAUUUGCAUAACAACAAAACCAUCCACCGCGAUGUAAAAGGAAAUAACAUUCUAUUGACCACUGAGGGUGGAGUCAAGCUAGUAGAUUUUGGUGUAUCUGCACAGCUCACCAGCACCCGGCUCCGCCGCAACACCUCUGUUGGAACGCCCUUCUGGAUGGCUCCUGAGGUGAUUGCAUGUGAACAACAAUUAGAUACCACUUACGAUGCCAGAUGUGACACUUGGUCCCUGGGUAUCACUGCCAUUGAGCUGGGUGAUGGAGACCCUCCCCUAGCUGACCUGCACCCCAUGAGAGCACUCUUCAAAAUACCAAGGAACCCACCCCCACAGCUAAGGCAGCCUGAGCUUUGGUCAGCAGAAUUCAAUGAUUUCAUUAGCAAAUGUUUGACUAAAGAUUAUGAAAAGCGUCCAACAGUGUCAGAUCUUUUACUGCAUAAAUUUAUUACUCAAAUCAAGGGAAAAGAAGUAAUGUUACAAAAACAGCUAAUGGAAUUCAUUGAAAUUCAUCACUGCAUGGGAGACACAGAAAAAGCCAGGCAUGAACGUAUUCAUACCAAGAAAAGUAAUUUAAACAGAUCUUUAAUUUCCAUUCAAAAGGAUGUAGAUGAUUUAGCAACCCUAGACAUUUUGGAUGAGAAUACAGUAUUGGAGCAGCUUGAGAAGUGUUAUUCCAAAGAUCAAAUCUAUAUCUAUGUGGGAGACAUACUCAUUGCUCUAAACCCUUUUCAGAGUCUGGGGCUGUAUUCCACAAAGCAUUCCAGACUAUAUAUUGGAGCAAAGAGAACUGCCAACCCUCCUCACAUUUUCGCAAUGGCUGAUUUAGGGUAUCAGUCUAUGGUCACAUAUAAUUCGGAUCAGUGCAUCGUUAUUUCUGGAGAAAGUGGCGCUGGAAAGACUGAAAGUGCUCAUCUUUUAGUUCAGCAGCUAACAGUGCUUGGAAAGGCUAGUAACAGAACCCUGCAAGAGAAGAUUUUACUAGUGAACAAUUUGGUAGAAGCCUUUGGAAAUGCCUGCACUAUUAUAAAUGACAAUUCCAGCCGAUUUGGAAAAUACUUAGAAAUGAAAUUUACUUCUUCUGGAACUGUAGUUGGUGCACAAAUCUCUGAAUAUCUUCUGGAGAAAUCCCGAGUUAUCCACCAAGCUGCUGGAGAAAAAAAUUUUCAUAUUUUUUACUACAUUUAUGCUGGUUUAGCUGAAAAGAAGAAACUAGCACUUUACAAACUGCCUGAAAAUAAACCUCCCAGGUACCUACAAAAUGACCAUCUCAGAACAGUACAGGAUAUGAUGAAUAAUAGUUUUUAUAAAUCUCAGUAUGAACUAAUUGAGCAAUGUUUCAAAAUCAUAGGCUUUACAAUGGAGCAACUGGGAAGUGUAUACAGUAUACUUGCUGCCAUCUUGAAUGUUGGAAACAUUGAAUUUUCUUCUGUGGCAACUGAACACCAGAUUGACAAGAGCUACAUUUACAAUCAUGCAGCUCUGGAGAAUUCUACUCGCCUGGUGCAGUUUCACGUUGCCAGCCAGUUUGCUUUGGGUUGCACUGCGUUAAGCAGCCAGCCUAGUUUGACCAGUGGAGAAAAUCAUCACAUAUUUAUCUCCCAUCAUCUGAAGGAAGCAGAUGAGUUACAAGACGCUCUUACCUCCCACUGUGUGGUGACUAGAGGAGAAACUAUUAUACGACCCAACACUGUAGAAAAGGCUAAUGAUGUCAGAGAUGCUGUGGCUAAAACUUUAUAUGGACGUCUCUUUAGUUGGAUAGUCAGCUGCAUUAACAGUUUAUUGAAGCAUGACACAUUGCCAAGUGGGAGUGGUGAUGAGCUGAGCAUUGGCAUUCUUGAUAUAUUUGGCUUUGAAAAUUUCAAAAAAAAUUCCUUUGAGCAACUGUGCAUUAACAUUGCAAAUGAACAAAUUCAGUAUUAUUUUAAUCAACAUGUGUUCGCAUGGGAACAGAGUGAAUAUCUAAAUGAAGAUGUUGAUGUUAGAGUUAUUGAAUAUGAAGAUAAUCGGCCCCUCUUAGAUAUGUUUCUGCAGAAGCCAAUGGGUCUACUAUCCCUACUUGAUGAAGAAAGUAGAUUUCCCAAGGCCAGUGACCAGACUCUUAUAGAAAAAUUUGAAGAUAAUCUAAAAUCACAGUACUUCUGGAGACCCAAAAGAAUGGAACUUUGUUUUGGAAUUUACCAUUAUGCAGGAAAAGUCCUCUAUAAUGCAAGUGGGUUUUUGGCUAAAAAUAGAGACACUCUUCCAACUGAUAUUGUGCUGCUUUUGAGAUCAUCAGAGAACAGUGUGAUUCGACAACUAGUCAGCCUUCCUCUGACCAAAACAGGUAACCUGCCAUUAUCCAAAACUAAAAAUGUAAUAAACUAUCAAAUGAAGAAUUCAGAAAAAUCAGUUAACAUGACAAAGGGUGAAACUGAAGAAGCCUCCUGUCAUGUUCUGGAAACAACCAAUAUGAAAACCCAAACAGUUGCAUCAUAUUUUAGAUACUCCCUGAUGGAUUUGUUAUCUAAAAUGGUGGUGGGCCAACCUCAUUUUGUCCGUUGCGUCAAACCAAAUAAUGAGCGUCAGGCAAGAAAAUAUGACAGAGAAAAGGUUUUGCUACAGCUUCGCUACACGGGAAUUCUGGAAACAGCAAGAAUUCGAAAGUUGGGAUACUCACAUCGGAUACUUUUUGCUAACUUUAUAAAGCGGUACUAUGUUCUCUGCUACAAGUCCAGUGAAGAGCCCCCAGUGAGCCCUGACACCUGUGCUGCCAUUUUGGAAAAAGCAGGUCUUGAUAACUGGGCCCUUGGAAAAACAAAAGUUUUCCUUAAAUAUUAUCAUGUGGAACAGUUAAAUUUAAUGCGAAAUGAAGCCAUUGACAAGCUUAUUUUGAUCCAAGCCUGUGUGAGAGCAUUCUUGGGUUCAAGAAGAUACCAAAAAACCCAGCAGAAAAGGAAAGAAAGUGCUAUUAUAAUACAGUCAGCUGCAAGAGGACAUCUAGUCAGAAAACAAAGAAAAGAAAUUAACAUGAAGAACACAGAAGUAGUCACCAUUCAGACUUAUGAUAAGGAAUUUGCAUACGAGAAAAACUUUGAAAGUAAAAGGAAAUCUUUUGUGAAGAAACAAACAGAAAAUGUGAUGUCUACCAAUGAGUCAAUCAUUCCAACUCCAAAUAAUACAGGGAGUCCACCUAUAGGGCAGAUUUCUGCCUUUAGAUCUAAAGGAGAAGCCACUGCCACUGUUGAAAAUCACCACAGAGGAUAUCAGACUUGGAAAAAAAUGAAUAACACAUAUAGAAAAGAGUUUAAUCAAGAACCAUGUCUCGUAAGGGACUCUUGGACAGGUGCAAGUCCCAAGCAGCAGUACAUCAAAGACCCCGAAGAACAUAGUAAUCUAAGGAAAGCACAGAAAGAGGACGCUGCGAUGCAGAGUUACUCUCAGAAGUUCACAGGGGAAAGGGAUUUUGUAGAACUCAAAACAGCAGAUCCAGAAAGGGAGAACACAGUGGAAAGGCCAAGCAACCCAGGGCUUUGGUUACCUGGGAGUGAGACUUCUUUGAAAAAAAGUUCGGAACCUAGUCUUAGCCAAAAGACAAUUGCCCAAAAUACAAAUAGCAAGGAAAAAGAGAAUAUGACAUUUGUAGUUACCCAGAAUGCACCAGUGUGCGGCCAGGAGAGAGAUCAUGAAAGGCAUGGGAUGGCCAAAGAGAGGCACACAGACUCAGCGAUGCCAGUCCCAGAGAAGGAAGAUCUGGCCGGGGUGUCCAUCCAGAGCAAAUGCCACAGUUUCCAGCAAAGGCAGCAGUUAGGGAAAGACAGUGUGUCUCCUUCCAUUAAGAAUCAAAGGGUUCUUACAAAACCAACAGAAGUAACAAAAAAUACUCACGGUGUGUAUUCCUGUCCCACAAAAAAUGAGGAAAUCUGUAAUAGCAAGAUGAAGGAUGACAGAGACUCAAAGGCAGCUUCAGAAAAACGAGCAUAUGAUUUGGCAGUUUUCUCAGAGCAGAUAUCCAAGAUAUCUGAAGAAUAUUUCAUUCUGCAGAAAAAAUUGAAUGAAGUGAUUUUGUCACAGCAGCUAAAGCCAGUUUAUCUGAGCAUCUAUCACCACAAGCCAAUGAAUAAACAAGUUUUCUCUCCACAGUGCCUCUCAGGGUACCGCUGACUGAGUGGCUGGACAACAGAAAUUUAUUUCUUCCAAGUCUAAAACCAAAGUGUCACCAUGGUUGAUUUCCUCCAAGAUAUCUCUCCAUGGCUUGUAGAUGGCCAUCUUGCCCAGGUAUUCACAUGGUCCUUUCUCUGUGCAUAUGUCCAUGUCCUGAUUUUCUCUCUUUAUGAAAAUACUAUCCAAAUUGCAUGGACUCUAAUGACUUCAUUUGAUCUCAGUUACUUCCUUAAAGAUCCAGUCUCUAAAAACAGUCACAUUCUGAGGUACGGUUAAGACUUCAAAAUGUGGAGUCAGGUAUGGUGUUGCACACCUAUAGUCCCCUCACUUGGAGGCUGAGGCAGGAGGAUCACCUUGAGUUUGGGGCCAGUCUGGGCUAAAUAGUGAGUUUAGGCCAGCCUGAACUGCAUAGUGAGACUGCCUCAAAAAGCAAAACUAAAAGACUUCAGAAUGUGAAUUCUGAGAUGAACCAAUGAGGACCAUAAAGAUUUCAACCAACUAGUACAAUCAGUAAGUACCAUUAGCAUCCAAUGACAGCAAGUUCAGUGGACAGUGAAAGUCACCAAAGAGGUGGUACCAGAUCCAGGCAUUGAAGGAUGUUUAAGGGUCAGCCAGGCUGUGAGGUGCUUUACUAUGAAGAAAUGAGGGCAAGCAGAGUUGCAGCUAUCUACAUGGUGUGGCAGGAUACCAGUGAGGUACCUGGACUGACCAGUGUAUGGGUUCAGAGGUAAGGUGGGAGAUAAAGUAAACCACUGAUGUUGUAAAUGACCUGGACCUCGCAGAAGUUUAACUUGAAAAAAAAAAAGGUGACAAUCAACAUUUUUAAUUUUUUUUUGAAAUUAGGUUUCAUAAAUGAAACGGAAUUUAAGGAAUGAAAAAUCAUGUUUUCGUUGGUGAAAUAAAGCCUAGAAACCAGAUUAAGGCUCUUCCAUAAUUUUUAAAGGACUGAUCUGGCCCAGAGUGGUAGCAGCAAUAACUGAGAAGAAAUAGUAGAUAAACAUUACAUAUUUCAAAGAAAGUGUUAAAAAUUGGCAGAAAUUGCUAGUUGCUUAUCUAAAGUAAAUGAAAAAGAAUAAACGAAAGGUGCCACCAACAUUUUGAACCUAGAAGAUAUAAACAUUGUUGUCCCUGAGUGUGCAGUGACUGGAAUCUUAGAUGAAGAAAAAAGACCAGCACUGGAUCACUGAAGUCUCGGGCUGAGGUGGCAGGAAUGAAGGAGGGGGAACCUGCUCAGUCCGAGAGGCAAGGGGAAGAAGGUCUCAUCCUCAUCCAGAAAGCAUUUUUCCCCCAGCACUGGGGAGUGAACCCGGGGCCUGUGCCCUGAAUUACAUCCCCAGUCCUUUUCUGUUUUUUAUUUUGAGACUGGGCCUCACUAAGUCACUAAACUGUUCCAGGCUGGGCUCACAUGUGCAGUCCUUCCCCCUCAGCCUCUGAGAGUGCUGAAACUAUAGGCUUGUGCUCCAUAAUCUGCUUGGGUAGCAAACUGAUUAAUUGCUUAUUUUUGUCGAGUAUUCCCUUAAGUGCUGGCCACAUACAAACAUGUAAGCUAAGGUGACUGCCUUCAGAAACAGACUCAGCAGUGAAAGCAAAGGAUGUUUGACAAAGAGGUCAGAGAUGAUAACAGCAGAUAAAGGGGCUCCAGACUUACCCACGCCAGGCAUCCUUGACCUUGUAGAAGGCACUGUCAGUAGUUUUUGUGUGGAAAUCUGAUUCAAUAAGGGUCAAGGAUAAAACGGAGACAAAAUCAAGAGGUCCCUAGUUCUCAAAUUUUUUUUAUCCUUUCAUGACAUUUACUCAGAUCUUUUCUCAUCUUCAGUUUAAUUUGUGUUACAGUAAUAAUGUUCUGGUAUUUUAAUUCACAUUUUAAAUAUUAAAGUCAAGAUUUGUUUAUAGGCUACUUUCAAGUGUUCCUAAAAAUAUAUAAUAACCUGAUUCUAUCUUUUUUAUGUUUUUUACCAUUCAGACUGGAAUAUAAGUGAAUAUAAACAAUUCACUUUCAAAAUGAUAAAACUUUGCAAGAGCCAAUAAAAGCUCUUUAACAGCACUGUUAGAGAUGAUAAAUGAUGGGAAGGGAAAGAAGAAAGAGCACUCUUUAUGAUGGUGGCAGAAAUUAAAGAUUUACCACCUUGUGCCUGCCACAGUCUGUAAAAGGACCCAGAAGGGGCUCAGCUAGCUGGUCCUAUACCACCUUUUUCUAUUCCUGUGGAUAAAGAAGAGAGAUAAUGGGAGACAAACUUCCAGAGAUGGGUUAGAAAACUUCUCACUGUAUUACUAACCUCUGUUAAUGUGGUCUCAUUAACAAAUACUGUACCUGAUUUUCUUUUGUUUUUCUCAGAAAAGGACAGUCACAUACGAUUAUGUUGCCAUCCUGUGACUAGCAUUACUCCAUGUAUUACCCUUUUACAGAGUACGCCUACCAGCUGAUCUCCACUGUCAUCCAGAGAUUUCCCAUAAAGCUAGAAAGGAAUGCGUUGGGGACGUUAGGAUACUAAUGCUAUUGUGCAGAAUAUGUGGGUCUAGUAGAUUCAGCAUGAGAUGAGAAAGUUAAAGAUUGAUGAAUCGUCAUCCUCCUUGAAGCUGUAGCACCCUGUUCCACAUGACCACUGCCAGGCACAGUUAUUUACAUAUAAUGAUCCAUGGAAUGUGAUCAGAAUACUCAGUAAAUAUUUAAAUUGUUAAAUUAAAAUGUGUUACUGUAAAAAAAAAUUACCAUUAAUGCUACUCAAAAUACUUUAUCUUGCUGCUUUGAACAUACUUAACACAUCACUGUCACCACUUUGAAAAGCAAUUCUGGAAGUUCUUUUUCAUGAAUAUCAUUACUAACAUGGUAAACAUAUGUGGGUGCUCCUGACCGGUGUCAGCCAUUCCAAAGGCAGGCUCAUAAAAACAGGUGGUGUCUCCGCAUUCAGCUUCUCGCUGGAUCUGGCUCUUCCCCAGUGUCAAAACGAAGGUAAAUGAUUUUGAAUUGAUUCAGCCCAUCCAGGUAGACAGGACAGUACAACUAAAGAAUCUCAAGAAAGAGGGUUUCCAGAACUGUUUCAGAAAGUGGCAAGAAUAAUGGGACAAGUGUGUUCUGAGGGGGAGUUUUUUAAAUAGAUUAAUAGUAAUGUGCUUUGUACUGUAACAAUUGUCUUUAAACAUCCACCAUAAUUUUAUUGCAUCUCCUAUUACACUGCUCUUAAAAUCCUGCCAAAAAAUGCAUGAUCUGGUAUCUGUUAAAUGUAGCCCUUGUGCCACGAGCACCAGUACUCAUCUCUCACCCUGACCCUGAUGUGUCAGUCAAGCAGCCAUUCCUGUAUAAAAACAGUCGGCAUGUGAGGUGGUCAAAAACCUUGGAAAACAGACAAAGAUGCUCAGUGAGAGCCCUGUCGGUCCAUAAAUACAUGAGGAACACAAACAACGAAGCAUGCAUAUCCCUCAAAGAUCUAUAGCAGUGUUUCUGUUUUAAGGAUUUCCCUAGAUUAGCAGAGCAAGAAAGGAUGAAAAAUACAUUGUUUUAUUGAUCAAUACUGAGAACUGAGGUUCUUAGUGUGAGUAAAGAAUAAUUUAGGUCUCUUACAUAAGUGUCAGCCCUGCAAGUGUGUAGCAGCCUCUCAGUUCAGGCCAUAAUGUGCAAGAUAGUACUGGAAGAUGAAAUCCCCUCACUGAUUGGAUGCAAGAUAGUACUGGGAGAUGAAAUCCCCUCACUGAUUGGAUGCAUGAUAGUACUGGAAGAUGAAAUCCCUCACUGAUUGGAUGCAUGGGCCACUAGCUGCCUGCAUCUGGUGGGAGGCAGAGAGAAGGGACAGCAGAGAUUCUGUUAAUGUUCAAGCCUUUUGAAAUUCUGCCAAAUUUGACUCUUCAUUCAUCCUGUACCUGUGCUGUACCCUAUUCUACAUCACCAAACUCUCCUUCCCUUUUCUCCCUCUUCACUCCAAAAGCCCUAACCACCAGACAGCUGGAGGAAGCUGUGUGGUAAGGAAUACGGUAUCUCUAAAGGAGAAGAGUCGAAAUUUCUGAGACCCCCAAGAAGACCCCGGAAGCCCAAAACAUUAAAUAACCCGGAGGACUCCACGUACUAUUACCUACUC